GAUCAGUUGGUGUUACUUGGUCAUGUACUGGACUUGUUUACUAAUUAUCAUUUUCUGUUUGAAGCUCCAUUAAAAUCUAUAAUGCUCACAAGAAUCGGAAAGGAAGGAAAGUAAUUCAAUGGAAGAAUCUUGCUGUGAGUCGGUUGAACUUUUUGUAGUGGUUAGUUUUAUGUACUUCAUUGUAUAUUUCACCUUCCAUUAUCUUAAUUCUGUAUUUUCAAGGUAUUCCGGAGCAAAAAAAUGACAAGACUUGUGGAUAUUUCAUUAUGCGUUACAUGAAAGAAAUUGUGGAGGACAAGAACUUGGAUUUUAGUAUGAAGUGGGGAACGAGGUCAAAUUUGGUUUACACAGUCAAUGAUAUUGAUGAGAUCCGAGCGGAAUGGGCUGAGCAUGUUUUGAAGUUCCCAGAAAAUUAAGUAUCAGCCUAUAUAUAUGCUUUUGUUUCUGGUAGGUUAUGAGCAGUAGUAGUGGCUAGGAACUGCUUUUGUGCAUUUUGACAGAACUGAUGGAAAGUGUUGAACAAAUGCAUGCAGUUGCUGUAACUACUCUAUGGAUGCUACUAGGUUUUUGUCUUAGUUAGAUUAAGAUCCGUGCAACAAUGGCAGUCAUUAAAAUCAUUUAAUGUAAAGGCUAGCAUGCUAGCUAGUUUAGUAUUAUGCUACUGAUGGGAAUG